CUUCUCCAGCAACUGCAGCAAAGGCUCGUACCCCACUUUUGCAGGACUCUUCCUUGAAGUCAAGGUACAGAUCUAGUUCCUCUUCUGGGUCAAGCCCAGGGACACCACUUGAAUGCUGCUCCUGAAGGGUUCUGGAUGCUGGGGUGUCAAGGCAUCCCCCACGUGCUUCUCUGUCCUCAGAGGUACCAUCUGGAGUGAGGCAGAUUCCCCCUAGGAGGUCACCACGCAGGGGCUCUGUGUCGGAAGCACUUUCAAAGGGGUCAAUUUUUGUGUCUGAUUGACUUUCACUCUGGUGGGACAGUGUCUCAAAAUCACUGUGGUCUGUUUCCCAGCUCCGUCCCUGUUCCUCUGGUUCUGUGGGAGGAGGGGGGAGCUCCUUGUCUCCAAUCUCACCUUCACCUGGCAGGUGUACACUUGGCUCUGGAGUCUGGAAGGGCAAGAAGAGAGGAGUCACAGACAAGGCCUGAGGACAUCUGCACACAUGUACACUGCACCUGCCUUUGUCAGAAGGAAGAAGGUUCAGAAAUGUUUCAUUUGUUCCCCAUGUGAAGAGAAAAACCAGAGGACCCCCUGAGGUCUUGUACAGUCACCGCCUGUAGGAAGAGAGUGGCCCAGAGAAUUCCAAAGUCCCAAAUUCCAAAUGACCAAUGAUCUGGACAUUGACUACGCCAAGAUGUCAGAGGUCUCACUCCUGACCCCACCCCCUGCUCAGCAUGGUGACCCAGGACACUGCCAGUUAAAGGAACUGUACUCCCUGCCUCGGUCUUGAUGAGAGUCAAGACUUUCUUUGACUUCCAGAGUCAGCUGUCUAGUUGAAGCUGAGCUGGUUAAGACUGCAUGGGACCCCGACCCUUCAACGGGACCUGCUCCAGUGUCCGCUCAGUGACCUUUUGAAUCUGCAGAGGCGGGCAGCUUAGUUAUGGCUGCACAGAACUGCGAUUAUCACACCUUUUUCCAAUCACCUUUCCCCACGCUGUAUUCUUUAGCCCCUAAAUACCCCGAGGCCCGCUUUCAGGAGGCGGAUUUGAGAUUUGGUAUGCAGUCUUCACGCUUGGCUGCCUGACAAAAUAAACGAAUAAACAGUCUCCUAGGGCUUUCCUGGUGGCGCAGUGGUUGAGAGUCCGCCUGCCGGUGCA